rnacentral:hammerhead_ribozyme from 1 species
CACUAGCUGACGAGUCCCAAAUAGGACGAAACACACGUUAUUCUG